rnacentral:rRNA from 1 species
UACGAAGGGGGGCUAGCGUUGUUCGGAAUUACUGGGCGUAAAGCGUGCGCAGGCGGCUUCCCAAGUCAGUGGUGAAAGCCCGGAGCUCAACUCCGGAAAUGCCAUUGAAACUGUGAAGCUCGAGAACGAGAGAGGUGAGUGGAAUUCCCAGUGUAGAGGUGAAAUUCGUAGAUAUUGGGAAAGAACACCAGUGGCGAAGGCGGCUCACUGGCUCGUAACUGACGCUCAUGCACGACAGCGUGGGAAUCAAACAGG